rnacentral:rRNA from 1 species
UAGGGAAUCUUCCACAAUGGACGCAAGUCUGAUGGAGCAACGCCGCGUGAGUGAAGAAGGUUUUCGGAUCGUAAAGCUCUGUUGUUGGUGAAGAAGGAUAGAGGCAGUAACUGGUCUUUAUUUGACGGUAAUCAACCAGAAAGUCACGGCUAACUACGUGCCAGCAGCCGCGGUAAUACGUAGGUGGCAAGCGUUGUCCGGAUUUAUUGGGCGUAAAGCGAGCGCAGGCGGAAUGAUAAGUCUGAUGUGUAAGCCCACGGCUCAACCGUGGAACUGCAUCGGAAACUGUCAUUCUUGAGUGCAGAAGAGGAGAGUGGAAUUCCAUGUGUAGCGGUGGAAUGCGUAGAUAUAUGGAAGAACACCAGUGGCGAAGGCGGCUCUCUGGUCUGCAACUGACGCUGAGGCUCGAAAGCAUGGGUAGCGAACAGG